rnacentral:rRNA from 1 species
UACGGAGGGUGCAAGCGUUAAUCGGAAUUACUGGGCGUAAAGCGCGCGUAGGUGGUUUGUUAAGUUGGAUGUGAAAUCCCCGGGCUCAACCUGGGAACUGCAUUCAAAACUGACUGACUAGAGUAUGGUAGAGGGUGGUGGAAUUUCCUGUGUAGCGGUGAAAUGCGUAGAUAUAGGAAGGAACACCAGUGGCGAAGGCGACCACCUGGACUGAUACUGACACUGAGGUGCGAAAGCGUGGGGAGCAAACAGG